UACGGGGGGAGCAAGCGUUGUUCGGAUUUACUGGGCGUAAAGGGCGCGUAGGCGGCCUCCGCAAGUCGACUGUGAAAUCUCCGGGCUCAACCUGGGAACUGCAUUUGUGACUGCACAGCUGGAGUGCGGCAGAGGGGGGUAGAAGUUCCACGUGUGAGCAGUGAAAUGCGUAGAGAUGUGGAGGAAUACCGAUGGCGAAGGCAGCCCCCUGGGUCAAUACUGACGCUCAUGCACGAAAGCGUGGGGAUCGAAACAGG
rnacentral:rRNA from 1 species